rnacentral:lncRNA from 1 species
UUAGUCUUCUUUUCCAAUAUUUUAUUUUUAUAUAGAGUUAAACGAAAAAUUGUACUAUAAAUAAAUCUAUAUACAAUGGAUCACAUAAUAGGCUUCUAAAAUAUAAGAUAAAUUAGAUAGAUCAACUAAAAUGAUCAAAAUUAUAAAAUAAAUGUGGAAAGCUUAGAGUCAUUAAAAGAAUAUCAAUUUUUUCUUCUUUAUAAUUCGAGGAUAUCCGACGGACCGAAGUCCAACCAACUAUUUUUUGAAAGUCUGUUUAUCAACACCAGGUAGAUCAUCGUUACUGUGGUCACAAGCAGAUAAAUUUAAAAUGGUAGAUUUUGAAUUG